rnacentral:rRNA from 1 species
AUGAAAGAGUGAAUGAAAUAUAAAUUGUCUCAGUAUAAUUGAUUGAAUUUAAAUUAAAAGUUAAAAUGCUUUUAUAUAUUUAUAAGACGAUAAGACCCUAUAGAAUUUAAUAAAAUUUAUUUUUUAAAAUCAUUAUGUUAAGAAAAGAUCUAAUUAAUAAAUAUAUUUUAUUGGGAGGAUAUUUAAAUUAAAAUAACUUUAAAAUAAUUUAAACAUAAAUAAAUGAGUAAGUAAUUUGAUUAUUAU